CAUGAACAAAAUGUAAUACCUGCUAAAUGUUUAUAUUUAUGUCAAUUGUGUUCCUUUUAAUUGAUUUUAGCAGCAGGUCUAUAACUGCAUGCACUAGGAAACAAUCAGUCGUAUGGUGAGCUUACAUGAUCAGUUGUGUCUGAUGUUUGACAGGAAGUUCUGAACAGCAGAAGUGAGAUUGUGAAAAUCCAAUGCCAACAGAGAUCCGACAACUGUGACCAUCACAACUGCUGCUGUCAAUCCCAUGACUUUUGAAGACAAC
rnacentral:lncRNA from 1 species